UACGGAGGGUGCAAGCGUUAUCCGGAUUCACUGGGUUUAAAGGGUGCGUAGGUGGGUCUGUAAGUCCGUGGUGAAAUCUCCGAGCUUAACUUGGAAACUGCCAUGGAUACUAUAGGUCUUGAAUACUGUGGAGGUCAGCGGAAUAUGUCAUGUAGCGGUGAAAUGCUUAGAUAUGACAUAGAACACCAAUUGCGAAGGCAGCUGGCUACACAAAUAUUGACACUGAUGGACGAAAGCGUGGGGAUCAAACAGG
rnacentral:rRNA from 1 species